UCCCCCGGAAAUUUCUAUCAAUUUAAAAACUUUUUGAUGAUGAGCAGGACAGAGGUGAUCAUCAAUGUCCUAACAUCAAUUUAGAUGAAAGUUUAUGUCCAACGAUUAUCAUAUGGGCAGUGUACUUUGUUCCUUCCAAAGUAAAUUUUAGCUCUCAUUGUCAAUGUCGAUGAUCUAUUCCGUUGGGUUGCUUUCUAAAUGGCGACGGAAACAUUUCGUAACCGACAAAAUCCCAUCCAACAUCUGUAACAUAGGCCAGGUGAAGCGUGAAGUUUGAUUUCCGUCAUGUAUCGAGGUGGAAAAACAACAUACGUGCAUAGCAACAGGUUUUUUCCCUGAUACAUCUGACAACCAAAUAUCAUUGCUCGUUUUUUCAAAAACACUUUUGAAACUAAAGCCUAUAUAUACCAUAACUAUCAUCAUCAUCAUCUCUAAUAUUCAAGAACUAAGUAUCCAAUUUGCACCAUCCACAUGUCGACCUUGUGCUCACUCGCACACUUACUAAUCAUCUGUGGGCAAAAAAUACAAUACAGUGCUGGUUUGUGCAGCUUAAUAAGUUUUGUAACACGCAGGCCUGAUCCAUUUACUGAGUAGAUACACUCAAAAGCAAGUACAAACACUCACAUGUUUCAGUUGAUGAUCUUGCAAGCUAAUAUGGACAACACUGGUCAUCCACUAUCACUAGUCGAAAUAUAACUAGAAUAUAAUGCGCUCAUAUAUGUCUAACAGAUCAUCUAAUAUCAAAGUUAGCCGAAAAUGUCACUCCACUAUAACAUAGAAACUGGUAAUAGCACUAGAGUGUAGAACAUCAUGAUACUUAGGUGCACCUAACCCCUAUAAGAAGGUUUAUUCUCAGUCAGUACAUCACAGAGAAUGUGUAAGAAAAAUGUCUUUAUAUCCCUGAUUCAUUAAUAUGAUUAUGCUACAUAAUAAUGUAUAAGGUCCUCCUCAGCUUUCGCCUUAUUAGCAAAUACACAACACCUAGUUCCUCCGAUAUUUCUUUGCUAAAAAGCAAGUUGCACUCGGGUAGAAGCAAAACUUCCCUCAAGUGAGGUGUGAAAAUGGAAGCAUGUAAUGACAGCAAAGCCGCAAUCAGCUAGAAGACUUACAAGCACAUAGAAUCUAUUCGCUACGAUGUCACAAAAUCUUGGAAUCGUACCCACUAAACAUAAUAGAGUUACAUGCAAACAGAGAAACCAUUCGCAUCACAUAACAAUAGAAAA